AUACUGGAUUUCUGGUGAUGACAAUAGCAGCAGAUAGUAUGCGGCUCAGUUAAUACUAAAAACAAUUGAUUUUAGUAAUUAGUGGACUAUGAGUGUGUGUUUGGCCAUCCAGAUUUCAUAACUACAACUGAUGUUCAAUUACAAGGGAUAUUAAUCAGUCUCCGUGGACUAUACACUGUGCCUAGUUUCAUCCUCAGAGACUGAUGUGUAAGCUUAAAGUAAAGACAUCAAAUCAAAGUAUCAGCCAUCAAGAGGAAGAACAUUCAAAAUCAUAUUGUGAUACACAAAUCAAGCAAGUCUAUGACCAGUAUUAUGAUACAGGCC